CCUACGGGAGGCAGCAGUGGGGGAUAUUGCACAAUGGGGGAAACCCUGAUGCAGCGACGUCGCGUGGGUGAAGAAGCGCCUCGGCGCGUAAAGCCCUGUCAGCAGGGAAGAAAAUGACGGUACCUGAAGAAGAAGCCCCGGCUAACUACGUGCUAGCAGCCGCGGUAAUACGUAGGGGGCAAGCGUUAUCCGUAUUUACGGGGUGUAAAGGGGGCGCAGACGGCGAUGCAAGCCAGGAGUGAAAGCCCGGGGCCCAACCCCGGGACUGCUCUUGGAACUGCGUGGCUAGAGUGCAGGAGGGGCAGGCGGAAUUCCUGGUGUAGCGGUGAAAUGCGUAGAUAUCAGGAGGAACACCGGUGGCGAAGGCGGCCUGCUGGACUGCAACUGACGUUGAGGCCCGAAAGCGUGGGGAGCAAACAGGAUUAGAUACCCCUAUAGUC
rnacentral:rRNA from 1 species